GACGUAGGGCGCGAGCGUUGUCCGGAUUUAUUGGGCGUAAAGAGCUCGUAGGCGGCUUGUCGCGUCGACUGUGAAAACCCACGGCUUAACUGUGGGCUUGCAGUCGAUACGGGCAGGCUAGAGUUCGGUAGGGGAGACUGGAAUUCCUGGUGUAGCGGUGAAAUGCGCAGAUAUCAGGAGGAAUACCGGUGGCGAAGGCGGGUCUCUGGGCCGAUACUGACGUGAGGAGCGAAAGCGUGGGGAGCGAACAGG
rnacentral:rRNA from 1 species